GUCGGACUGGUGUAGUGGUCUGAGUGUUGGAUUACAACUCUGGAGACCAGGGUUCAAUUCCCAGUUCAGCCA
rnacentral:tRNA from 1 species